UACAGAGGGGGCAAGCGUUAUUCGGAAUUAUUGGGCGUAAAGGGCGCGUAGGCGGCUUGGCAAGUGGAUGGUGAAAUCCCUCGGCUUAACCGAGGAACUGCCGUCCAAAACUGCUUCGCUUGAGACCGGGAGAGGUGAGUGGAAUUCCCAGUGUAGCGGUGAAAUGCGUAGAUAUUGGGAGGAACACCAGUGGCGAAGGCGGCUCACUGGACCGGCAUUGACGCUGAGGCGCGAAAGCCAGGGGAGCAAAGCGGGG
rnacentral:rRNA from 1 species